rnacentral:lncRNA from 1 species
CCAUAUUAUGUCCAAACAUUGAAUCACCAUUUAGUUGUAGCUAGCAAUCUUUGAAUUAACUGAAACCAAGACUAUGUCAAAGAUAGUUUCUUCCAAGUCAACCAUUCUCUUUGAUUGUAGUCACCUUAAGCUACCAAUUAGCUAUGAAGGUUUCAUUAUUUCGGGUCAAAUGGUACUUUACCAUUUCCUUGAGUAUAUGUCGUAUAUACACUCAAUGUAGUCAUAAGGAUUUUCAUUCUUAUUUCUUUCGAAUUAAGAAGUGUAACUCUAUGACAUAGUCAUAAAGUUCAAACCAUUCAACUGAGACAGUUUAUAAAUCCUUCUCGACUACCUAGGAGCUUGUGGUGUAGGAACUAGGUUGUUAUAUUUGUUGAUUAUCAUCUUGUCUCUCAAAGAACCCAUUCUUUGAGUUCUAUCUCUCGUUCAUUUGCGCUUAGGCAAAUCAUAUUGUAGGAUUACAAUGAACUACCCAACAAAACAACAUUUGUUUGUUGGUUUAUAGAAGUGAUAUCCAAAGGUUAAUUUAAGGAUAUUCACAAGAUAAUUCUCAAACAAAUAUUGCUUAUUAGCACACAACCCCAAAUCUUAACACGAU